GCUAUAAAUCAAACCAUUUCCAAAUUCUUCAUCAAUCUCCGGCUUUCAGGAAGUUAUAAGGAAAGUGGAACAGAGAGAGGGUAUUGUAACUGACGGAGAAGAAAAUAUCUACUCUUUGCAAUCCUUGUUGGAGCAGCUUGGUGUUCAUUUCACUGCAGGCUGUAUUGAAAAGUGAUUACCUGGGAGGGUUUUAGUUACAUUGGACUUCAACAAAGGCAGCACCAGAUGAUCAAGAAGCAUUUUAAACGCAAGCUCAGGCCUUCUUUAUUUUUUAUGAACUGCUUACUAGCCCCCAUGGCUAAUGCUUUGAGUUGGCUCAUUUGCUUCUGUAGCCAUAGGAUCUUCCAGAGAGGGACCUUUUCCCUCUCACCGGAUUGCAGCACAGACUGCCAGACCCACUGUCUCAUAGACUGCGGGCAGGGACAUUACUACGUAGCUGGCAACUGCUUGGAAUGUCCGACAGGU